CCAGAGAUUGAACCCGAAUCCUCACGGACACUAAUCAGGUUCGUUUCCACUGAGCCAUGACGGGAACUCCCUAGGCAUUCUUGAAUAUAGACAAACCACCUACCUAAGAAGAGAGUUUUAAAAGGUAUCAUUUUCAGGGCCACUUUGCUGGAAGUUACUUGGAGACGUCCUUGACAGUGAGGUUGACUUGACUCAACCACGGAAUUUGACCGUCAGAAAACCAAACCGAAAACCUCACAUAGUCUUAGACUCUCUUAGCAGAUGUAAAGCACAAGAUGCAGGAUGUCGUGUUCCUGCCCACCUCUGCGCAGAUCAGAACCCGCUCAGAGGGAGGCGUUCAGUCCAAGGAUCCUGACAAAUGAAGCCAGCAACUAGGACUGGUUAGGGGACUUGAAACCAAUGCAUGAAAAAAAAAAAAAAAAAAA